rnacentral:lncRNA from 1 species
AAAAGGUUCUUCUUACACUCUUUAGUCUCAAAUUUCUAUUCUCCUCAAAUGUCCAACACUCUCUUUUGAUAUAUGUUCUUCUACAACUCAAGCUAAACUUUGAUUUACCCAUUCCUCCUAGCGACUAGCAUAGAGGUCGAGUCAUCACCCUGCAAGGUAAGUAACACUACGCCUUUGGUCCUUUUUUUUGUCUCCUUUGUUUUGUUUGUUUAAAGUACAAUGUUUCCGACAUCUUUGUGUUUUUAUUCACACGAAACUCAGGCUCUGUUUUGUUUUUAAUGUUCUAGUGAAGGUUCGUUGAUUUUUAGUAUAUUACUCUCAUAAUUUUGUCUUGAUAAAAAGAAAGCAAACAGUCAUUGAUUUUACUUGUUGUGUUCGAACUUUCACUAUAAUCAUGCUCUGUUUCUUCAUAAGAAAACGUAGGUUAAAAACCCCACUGAAAUGAUUGUUUAAAAUGGACAUAGACCUAAGUAUUUUAAUAUAUCUUUCUGAAAAAUUAUAAGUAAAGAAUGGGCGUUAUACAAUUCUGAAAUGUAUUUACUUUUUUAAAAAAUCGGCAUGGUUUUUUAGAUUUAAAUGCUACUAGCAUGAUUUUAAUCUGUACAAAAUUUUCUGAAGGGAUUGUAAUGGAUGAUUUUUGAUGUUGUUUUGCAGAUUUUAAUGAAGAACAUAUUCAAAAGGAGUGUGUAACGAAAAGGCCAAAAUGGGAAAGUCCGAAAGGAGAAAUGUUGGAGAAUGUUGUAAGGAACAGAGAAUCUUGGAAAUGUGCCAUUUAUAUUUUGGUUGAGUGUAGCAUGUGUGACGAAUUAAUAUGCUUGUAAGAUAUAUAUGAUAAGAUGUAAAUAUUUGUAGGGUGUAACUGACACAUGACCGCCGGUAGAAGAUGUAUAGGUGUGACGUACGCUUUGUAUAGAUGAGAUAAAAAUGUGUAGGACGUGGAUGUAUGUGUAUGCUUGUAGGUUAGAUGAAUGUGUAGGAUUUGGAUAGUUUUCAUAGAUUAGAUGAAUGCUUAGGAUGUGUAAGGUGAAUGGGAUGGAUGUGGGAUAUGGAUACAUAAAUUAGAUGAAGAUGUUGUAAUGUAAAAAUGUGGAUAAAUUUCAUAAUUAUAUUGAUGCAUUCCAG